rnacentral:rRNA from 1 species
AUUGAACGCUGGCGGCAUGCCUUACACAUGCAAGUCGAACGGUAACAGGUCUUCGGAUGCUGACGAGUGGCGAACGGGUGAGUAAUAUAUCGGAACGUGCCCAGUCGUGGGGGAUAACGCAGCGAAAGCUGUGCUAAUACCGCAUACGACCUGAGGGUGAAAGCGGGGGAUCGCAAGACCUCGCGCUAUUGGAGCGGCCGAUAUCAGAUUAGCUAGUUGGUGGGGUAAAGGCCUACCAAGGCUACGAUCUGUAGUUGGUCUGAGAGGACGACCAGCCACACUGGGACUGAGACACGGCCCAGACUCCUACGGGAGGCAGCAGUGGGGAAUUUUGGACAAUGGGCGCAAGCCUGAUCCAGCAAUGCCGCGUGCAGGAAGAAGGCCUUCGGGUUGUAAACUGCUUUUGUCAGGGAAGAAAUCUUCUGGGCUAAUACCCCGGGAGGAUGACGGUACCUGAAGAAUAAGCACCGGCUAACUACGUG